AGAUGUGUAUGACUAAUGACAUGAGCAUCCACAGGACUGACAGUGAAAGGAACCUUUAACAUGUCCUCCUGUGUCCUGCUCUUCAUCUGUGUGUUCCAGGUACAAAGAGCUGAUAGAGAAGAAACAACAGGAGAUGGACGUGUACAAAGCCAUUAACGUCUUCAGAGAACACAUGAUGAACCAGAAGGCUCUGCACAAAGCUGUAGACUGUGCUGAAAAGGAUGAAGUUACAGCUGAGGAGAAGGUGGCCCCGCCUCCAUUUGGUCUGAGGAGUCCCCAGUCCUCCAGACCAGAGGACCAGGUCCUGUAAGACCAGACCAGAGGACCAGGUCCUGUAAGACCAGACCUCCAGACCAGAGGACCAGGUCCUGUAAGACCAGACCUCCAGACCAGAGGACCAGGUCCUGUAAGACCAGACCUCCAGACCAGAGGACCAGGUUCUGUAAGACCAGACCAGAGGACCAGGUCCUGUAAGACCAGACCUCCAGACCAGAGGACCAGGUCCUGUAAGACCAGACCUCCAGACCAGAGGACCAGGUCCUGUAAGACCAGACCUCCAGACCAGAGGACCAGGUUCUGUAAGACCAGACCAGAGGACCAGGUCCUGUAUGACCAAAAAUGAAGAACAGAAGGAUCAGAAGAAUGGGCUGAAAAUGAGGAGUAAAGGGCUGAUCUUCACAGCUACAGUGCGGAUGCACCUGUGCUUACCAGAUCACUGACACAUGGACUGAGCAGAACAAAUGUGAAGGCAUUUUUUAUCACGUUUUCUCCCUCAAAACAAAAACCAGUUGGUUUCCAUGCUCUUUCCAGUUGAACUGCUCAUCAGUUCUAAUGCCGAAAACUGUUGUUGCAGACACUCUUUCAGUUUCAGUGUCCUUCAUUCUGAUUUGAACUUGUUUGUUAUUUUGUAUGAACUAGGGAUGCACCCAUACCACUGUUUUCCAGACCGGGUACAAGUACUUCCAUUUGAGUAAUUGCAGAUACUGAGUACCGAUCGUAGUCCUUAAUAAUCCCAUUCCAGUUGUUAGUUCCUUUUGUAAAUGUGCUUUAUUGUCGUUGUCAUUAGUCCGACUGGAACAAAGUGCUGCUACUGACAUUUAAUGUGUUGGAAUGAGCAUUUGUCAGUUAAUCCACCAGGGGGCGCCGCUCUGAAUUAACCAUACUGGACAAAUACCACGAAGAAGAGGAAAGUUUAAUGAGAAGAAGAAGAAAGUCAGUAAUAACAAACCUGUAGACGACAGAGGAACACUACUGUGAUACUAAUGUUGCAGCGUUUUCUGUGGUAAGGUUUAAAAGUUUAGCUUCAGCAGGAAGAGAAAGACAACCCUUAUGCAAAGAAAAUGUAUUUCUCUUUACAUUGACUGUCAAUAUAUUACUGACCGAAAAAUAUAUUACUGUAUAAUAUAUAUUCAUAUUUAAAAUAUACAGAAUAAUAUAUUGUGUCAGUAUAUUUUGUAUUAUAUUACAAUAUAUUGAAAAAUACAUAAGGAAUUGCUGCUUUCCAUAUAUUGAAACAUAUAUGACUAUAUUUACUUACAUAUGUAAAUAUAUGUCAUUAUAUAUUUAGUAAUACACUUCAUAAUGUAUGUAUGCAUAUAUACAUACAUAUAUUGUCUAGUGUAUUACUAAAUAUAUGUAAUUAUAUAUUUAGUCAUACACUUAAAAAAAUAUGCAUGUAUAUAUAUGUACAUCUUUUUCAUCCUAUGUUGCCAAAAUGACUAAGAAGGCAUCUUUUUUCAGUAAACACUUUUUUCAUGUAUAUCACGAUGC
ensembl:lncRNA